CAGGCUUGCUGUGCUUGCAGGGCACAGCUAAAUGCCGACUCCGGGAAUAAUAGUCAUGUCAUGGGAAGGGAUGCGCUGGUUUGUAAGUGAAACAUGAACUUGAGCAUCUGUUUCACCCUUCUAAAAAAUACAAGAGGAGCAGAAGGCAUAGCCUCUACCCUUAAGGACAUACUAAACAACUAUAACUGCACUACGUUCCAAGCACUAAGCUAGAAGGCUUUACAGGCAAAAUAAAAUGCAACAGUGACUAAUGGCAGUUGCAGAUUCAAAUAAUAUUAGAAGAAAGUAAAUAUUGUUACUAUCUGCUACAUGAACAAGACAUGCGGAUAUUCCAAGUAUUCACUGUGUCUCCGAGAAUUCCAAGGCUCUUUGACUUAGAAGAACUUAGAUAAUUGCAGGCACAGUUUAGGCUGUAGGAUUUCCAUGAUUUAACAUCUGCUGUCUUCAGAAAUGUGAUUAGAGGGAUGUUCCCCUAGGCUGGGAGGAAGCUGAUCUCUCUCUUUUCUGUUUUUUGUCUCUUCCCCUCUACCCCUUGAAAGAAUCACCUCCUUCAAGGAGAAAGAAAAACAGGACUUUGGACACUCUGGAUUUAUACAGCGCCAUCACUUGGCAUCUGUGAUUCUUCUAACACCCUCCAUGGUGCUGGGAACAGGGCUUGCCGGCUCCAUUUUGACUGAGAGAAAGUGAGGCAGGAACUGGUGAAUGGCCGGCUGGCCACCCAGCAAGAAGCAGCAAAGCCAGGAUUAGGACACAGGCCUUUGAAUUCCACAGUACUCCUCCUUUCUCUUUACCCCUCUUUUACAUUUUGGGCCAAAUGCUUUGCUUUCUUUCUGGUUAAAAGCAUUUCUUUCACUAGUUUUUACUCGCAAGUCAAAAACCUACCCUUUGGCCAUCUCCUGGGUGGAACUUUGUUUUCAGGCAUUCACUUCUAACUCCACUUGGUGAUAAGACACUGGGUCUCCUGGGGAAUUUGUGCUGGGAGCCUGAGGGUGAAAGGUCAUCCCCUUCUCCAGGCCCUGUUCUUCCUUUGGUGAGUUGUCAGGCAGCCUCUCAACCAUUGAUCAAUCAACCCCGACGGCAGACUGCCUGCCAUGCAGCCCUCGCUGGCUCUGUGUGUGAAACAGGAAUCUUCCUCUUCAAACCAUCGAGCCUUUCCCGGCUCCUCCAUGCCUUCCCCACCACUCUUCCUCUAUCACGUUUUCCUCCUUUUUACUCCCUGGUCCUCACAGCCACACUGACUCUAAUCUCAGGAGUUAGUCACCAACUUUCUACUUGCACAGGGAGGUUUCCAAGGAUUCGCACUCAGCACCUCCUGUAGUGCAAUCAAGUAACUGUGGAUUUUUGUGCUUAUGAGAUAAACGUGGAUCAAUCGAUGGAUAAAGGUCAUAGGCUUUUUAGAGCCAGGAGGGAACUCGAAGGUCAUCUGAUUCAACUAAUUCAUUUUUACAAAUGAUGAAACUUAAGAAGAGGCUAAAUGACUGUCCUGGGUUAUAUAAUUACUGAAACAAAUACUAUUAACCAGAUCUUCUAAAAUGCAAAUUGCUCUUUCCCCCAUGAAACCAUCCAGCUCUGGAAUUCCUUGGUGGCUCAGCAGAUUAAUGAUCCAGUGUUGUCACUGCUGUGGCUCGGGGGUCACUGCUGUGGUGCAGGUUCAAUCCCUGGCCCAGAAACUUCUGCAUGCCAUGAGUGCAGCCAAAGAGAAAAAAAACCAUACAGUUUCUACUUAUUAUAAAUCCUUUUUAAUGAUAUUUGUUUAAUUCCAUUCAUUUUUUUAAAUUUUAGAGAUAUGGCAUAUUUUUCAUUUAAUUAAGAAAUUACCUCUCAACUUUAUUCAUUUAUAAUAACAUGUUUUGUCUCACACGGUGUUUUAAAAACCUAAUUCUCCCCCUAAAUAUUAAAGCAAUACAUGCCCAAUGUGUAAAACUUGGGAAGUAAAGGAACCUAUAAAGGAAAAAAUAUUACCCAGUUUCACCCAUUAGAGAUAAUCAUUGCUAACAUUUUUCAUGUAUUUCCUUCUAGUUUUCGCAUACUUCUUAUGUUGUUGAAAUCAGGCUGUGUAUAGAGUUCUGUAUCCUAAGACUUUUUUGUUUGUUUGCUUUUUUAACAUAUCAUAAACCUUUACUGUGUCAUUACAAAAUCUUUGUACAUAUGCUAUAAAUAGCUUCAUAGAGCCCAUAUCUUUGAUGGUAGCACAGUGCUCUUAACCAUUUUCCUAACCAUGGGCAUCCGCAUUUCAACCCAACUUUCCAUUUUUAAGGCAAUGUUGCAGUAAUACCCAUGCAUACUUAUUUCUAUAUACUUUUGUUUGUCCUUGGAAAAAAUUUCUAGAAGUGGGUAAAAACCCAUUUAUAUUUUUCAGGCCCUCGAUGCAUUUUACCCAGUUGCUUUUCAGGUAGGUGACACCAACUGACACACCUACCAACAGGUUUCAUAGUACUUUUAGGGUAUUUUUCCAGAACUGUAUUUUAUUUUAUUUUUUUUAUCAUCAAUGCAGUCUUGACUAGUCCACGGUCUAAAGUAGCUGCUGCCAAACACAAUUUCCAAAUUAAAAUUGUAAAUGGGACUCUCAGCCCCUCCGUAUAACUGUGUUUUUUUAGCCUGUUGGUGAUCCGUGUGGCCUGGCCACAUCGCUACCCACUUUCUGAGUGUGUACAUUUUACUGAAAAUCUGCUGAGUGACAGGCAGUGUGCCACAUGUUAGAGAGCAGACAGGUGUUCUCAGUGCAGGGUGUUCUCAGUGCAGAGGAGGAGACAGUCACGGAAGCCAGCAGGGAGGACAGAGUGAUGGGUGCUGCCGUAAUAGGAGUCGGCACAGGCUGAGUGCAGCCCAGCCCAAGAGCACGGAAGUCAGCCUCUGGAGGCAACAGGCAGCUUUGAAGAUAUGGCACUUAAACUGUAUCUUCAAGGGUGAAGUGCUUGCUAGAUGGAAGACCUGAGAUGUCCACAGUCUACACAGUGGAAAUGUCCUGAAGUGAACUGCACACAGUGGAGUCACCUUGGGAGACUUGUGACCUUGGGACAGUUACUUAACUUCUCCAUAGCUCAUAUUCCUCAUCUAUAAAAAUACUACUCAUCAAACUACUUUGCAGGGCUGUGAAGAACAACUGAGAUACCAAAGGUCAAGUGCUUAGAACACAGCUUGGUGCAUCGACAGAGCUCCAAAGAUGUCAGAUACUGUCAUCGCCACCACCAUCGUUACAGCAGAAGCACUGAGUCCAGAUGAAGUGGCAGGGGGUGUGGGAUUGACAGAAGGGUCAGUGCACAAAGGCCAUUUAUAACAUCCUAAAAAGGACCUACUUCACCCUGACAUCCAUAAUUCCCUUGAAGAUGUUUGGGGUUUUGGACUUAACUGCCUAAUGGAGAAUCUCCUCGGCUUCCUUCUAGACAUGAUUCCCAGCUGAGAACAAGCCCCCAGUCUCACUCCUGGGCACACAGUCUCAAAGAACACACCCCCUUCUACUCAGCCUCAUAUCAGUAACCAAAGGAAGGUAUCUUCCUGCCCUCUGGAGAUUUUAGUGAUUCAUAGCCAUCCAGUGGGAACAAUUCUUUUAACAAUAUCAAACUAAUAAAUUCCUGGGAGCAGGGAGUGUAAUCGGAAAAAAAAAUAACAAAAACAAACCCAGCCCCAAUUUUCUUUUCUGAAAAUGAUCUUGGGAAUUUUCACCCAUUGAGUGACUUGGUUUUACCAGAAGGGAAUGUGAAACAAGAUGGACUAAUUUUGUCCAGAGAAUAGAGACCCUCUGCUCACUUUCCCUUGCUUUUCCUAUAGCUUAAAGCUGUGGUCCAGUUGCCCGCACCACUGAAGCCCUGCCUCCCAAGUUGGGUUCGUCUCUGAUUACCUGGUGGCUCAGGAAGUCAGCCUAGGUACCGUUUCCUGCCCUCUCAUCUAUGUCUGUCCCAACCUCAUACUCCUCAGCUAGGCCAGCUUCUAUCAGGGCAAAUAUGUCCCCACAGAUGCAUUGUUUUCUUCUUGGACAGACAGGCUGGGAGAAAGGGAAUAACCACCCCUCCUAGUUUGCACCAGUUGCCCUGGCAUAAUUAUCAUAGUGCCUCUUUUUCCUCUCAAAAAUAUCCUGUUUGGGAGUUCCCCUUGUGGCUCAGUGGGUUAAGAACCUGACAUAGUGUCUAUGAAGUUACAGGUUCUUUCCCUGGCCUCACUCAGUGGGUUAAGGAUCCUGCGUGGCAGUGGCUGUAGUGUAGGCUGGCAGUUGCAGCUCCAAUUUGACCCGUAGCCUAAAAAUUUCUAUAUGCCACAGGUGCAGCCUUAAAAAAAAUGUCCUGUGUGGAUAAUAAAUUAUAUUCAAAUUCCAUGGUCACAUGUAUCUUAAAUAUUUAGCCCCUCAAGGCCAGGGACUGGGUCAUUUUUUAUUAUUAAAUCUCCAGCACAGUGCCAAGAAGAAGCAUCUGAUAGUCUUAUGUGCUCCCCAUAGUUUAACCUUGAUGACUCUCCUGCCUUCAUAAAGGCCCUGGGAUCUGGACAUCAGUUUUUUAAGGAUCUGUAAAGUGGAGAUAAUACUACUUACCUUCUAGAACUGCAAACUAAUACAACAAAAUUGUUAUUUUUUACCCUCAGAAAAUUCUAAAACCUUAUGCCAGUGUUAUGACCUGAAUUUUUCACUACUAAAAGACACCAUGAAAUGUGAAUUAAUCUUUUUUUCUGAUUAGAAAGUACAUGAGAAAACGAAGCACUAAAGUGAAAUUUUUUUUGAGCUUGCAUGUGUAUGUAUGAUUUUGGAAUCAUAGAAGUCUGACUUUCAUAUCAGAUUGGAUUUUCAAUAGCUAAAAUUAAAAAGAAAAAAUCCUAGAUCCUGACAAAGAGGCAGGAAUCUCAAAUGAAUAGUACUAAAUAAUGAUCCUGCCUAUUUCUCCUAACACUGGAAUUGGGUCUGAACCAGUCAUCUAGCAUUUUGUGGCAUCUUUGGUAUAAAUUAUAAAAGCUGUGAGAUCUCUUAUUGAGCGGUAGGAUGAUUGUUGGGUGUGAGCAAAACAUGCCUUUUCUUUUAGAAAUUUUUAACUUAGAAAAAUUAAAAUACUACCAGCUUGUCAAUGACUGCAUAUCCCAUUUAUUUAUACUUUCCAGACCUAAUCCUUGCUGGAUGUCUAGAACUGGAGACUGGAUGAAAUUAAUGUUAGUAAAACAGGAUAGCAAGACAGGAAAACUCUUUCCUCAAUAAGCUUGCUACCUAGUUAUGCUGACAGGACACACAUAAGAAGACAAGUGGUGGCAGAAGGUGGAAAUGACAACCAUUUUAUUGCUUUGGGAAUUUAGUUAGGAGCCAAGAAAUGACAUAAUAAAGACAGAGAAGCAGCCCCUUACCCCAAACAAGUGAGAGAGGAUAAAAAUGCUUUGGGGCCAUGACAGUUGCAAAUUGAAGCAUGAGAUAUUUUCAGCAGCCCUUUCCUACUGAAUGAGUAUCAUUGCAUACCCCCUGGUGUGGGACAGGUUCCUAGCCUGUCACUUCAUCUCAGUUUUUAUCAUCCCAUUCAAAUUUUCAGUCUUGCUUGUGGAAAUCUCUAACCAACUCCUGUGCCUGUGCUUGAACGCUAGGGCUUGAUAUCUCACACCUGAAGCAGUGUGGUGCCCUGAUUUCUCUUGCUUUGAUUUUAUUAGGGGUCCAUCGAUUAGGGUCUUUAAAGAGAUUAUCUACUCUUCCCUCUUCUGAUCAAUGCAGGUUUCCAGUUCCUAACCCCAUCAUUGCGGCAGUGCAUCCUCCUAGGAACCAGAAGUCACUUAUUAGAGUUGUAGCAACAUGGCAAUACCCGCAGAGCUGAAGCAGCACAGAAAACAUUCCUGGACAGGUCUGGGAGAAUGAGACAGCCAAGGAAGUGACAGCAGGCAGCCAGGCAUAUUGUGAUAUCCUCCAAAGAUACGUGGUAGAGGGACAAGCAUUAGAGAUAGAAACACUGGGAUUUGUAUCUUGAUUCUAUCACUUAGCAGCUGUUUGAUUUGGGACCCCAUCAGGGUACCAGUAUUUUUUUUUUUUUUGUAAUGGGGAUGUCAUGACACAUAAUUGCCAGGAUUAUAAGGUCUGAAUGAGCUACUUUUUAUAAAACGUUAAGCAUUAUGCUUGGCACACUUUUUUGGAAGCAUGAAAAGAACUGCAUAAAAGGAAGCAGCGAUUGACCCCUCAGCUCAAAGGAGAGCUACAGAGAAAGAUUUAAUCCACCUGGGGGGACUUGCCCACAAUUAGUGGCACAAUAAUAGCAGUAAGGUCCUUGAAGAGAAGCUUAAUAUUAAGGAAAGAUCAUGAACUUUUCCCUGUCAAAAAUAGCGGAAGGGAGGAAGGGAGGAGUUUCUGCCAUAGCUCAAUGGUCAACAAACUCAACUGGCAUCCAUGAGGAUGAGGGUUCAAUCCCUGGCCUCACUCAGUGGGUUAAGGAUCUUGCAUUGCCAUGAGCUGUGGUGUAGCUUGCAGACAUGGCUCAGAUCUGGUGUUGCUGUGGUGUGGGCCAGCGGCUACAGCUCCGAUUGGAUCCCUAGCCUGGGAAACUCCAUAUGUCACAGAUGUGACCCUAAAAAGACAAAAAG
rnacentral:lncRNA from 1 species